rnacentral:rRNA from 1 species
GAUAAACGCUGGCGGCGUGCCUAACACAUGCAAGUCGAACGAUCCCGCAAGGGAGAGUGGCGGAAGGGUGAGUAACACGUGGGAAUCUACCUCCUCGCGAGGGAACAACCUCUCGAAAGAGAGGCUAAUACCCAAAAGGGUCAGAAAUGAUCAGAGUCGAAAGGCGUGAGGAGAGGAGCCCGCGGCCCAUCAGCUAGUUGGUGAGGUAAUGGCUUACCAAGGCUACGACGGGUAGGGGAUCUGAGAGGAUGUCCCCCACACUGGAACUGAAACACGGUCCAGACGCCUACGGGUGGCAGCAGUGAGGAAUAUUGGACAAUGGGCGAAAGCCCGAUCCAGCAACGCCGCGUGGAGGAUGAAGGCCUUCGGGUCGUAAACUUCUUUAGAGGGAGACGAGAAAGGACGGUAUCCCUAGAAUAAGCGACGGCAAACUACGUGCCAGCAGCCG